rnacentral:rRNA from 1 species
GACGAACGCUGGCGGCGUGCCUAAUACAUGCAAGUCGAACGAAAGGGCGCGGAGCUUGCUGCGCUCAUGUUAGCGGCGGACGGGUGAGUAACACGUGGAUAACCUACCUAUCAGAGUGGGAUAACCUCGGGAAACCGUAGCUAAUACCGGAUAAUAUUUUGAACCGCAUGGUUUGAAAGUGAAAGACGGCGCUGGUGUCUGUUAUAGAUGGAUCCGCGCUUCAUUAGGUAGUUGGGAAGGUAACGGCUUACCAAGGGAACGAUGCCUAGCCGACCUGAGAGGGUGAUCGGCCACACUGGAACUGAGACACGGCCCAUACUCCUACGGGAGGCAGCAGUAGGGAAUCUUCCGCAAUGGUCGAAAGCCUGACGGAGCAACGCCGCGUGAGUGAUGAAGGUCUUCGGAUCGUAAAACUCUGUUAUUAGGGAAGAACAUAUGUGUAAGUAACUGUGCACUUCUUGACGGUACCUAAUCAGAAAGCCACGGCUAACUACGUG